ACUACCUAGUGAUUGUCGCUCACUCGGCCCCUCCGCUCAUGCCGGCCGGCCGCGCCUCGACGUCGCCGGUGGUUCGUGCGUGGCCCUCGGUCAAAGCGGUUGAAUAUGAUGCCGGCUGACAGCCGUACCAGUCUCCAGCCAACGUGUUCGUCACUAUCCUCAUCCUAGCCACAGCUCUGCUCCCAUCACCGAUCAAGCUGCAUCACCGAUCAAGCUGCACCAACGUGGUCGUCACUUGGUGCACGGCAUGUCGAAUUGUUGGUUCGUUGGUUCGCCCACAAAUACCGUAGCUAGCACCGGCACCGCCGCAUGUGCUGUGCACUCGACCACACGUUCGUUGAUACACGGAACUGUUUCCUCUUGAUACAGUACCUUCCAAGGAAAGUUGCUGUCCUGGCCUUCCCUUUUCGUUUCUCUGCUCUGCUUCGUCUUCCUCCCACGAGACGAGACUCUCGCGUCCUUUCAAGCCAGUCAAUGAACAGAGCCAUCGCCCAUCCAUCUGACAGAUGGGCCAGGGCGCAUGACAGCCUCAGUUUUAAUGCAGCCGCCCUCUCCUCCCGCCAGAUUACGACCAGGAGCAGCGCGUUCAUUGGCUGCGUCGCUUCGCUUAGGCUUUGUUUUUGACCAAGGCAUGCUGGCUGGUUCCAACAUCCUUUUCUUCUUCUUCUUCUUCGGUUGGAUGGCACCCACUGGCCGGGUCGCGCUUGUGGAUUACCUCUUUUGUUUCCCUAUCUAGGUCAAGAAACGAAUAUACCGCAGGAGUACAUACAGAGAGUUGUGCAUGCCCGGCACCGCAGGUGCUUCUUCUGAUCCUCUUUGUGCAUGGGGAUUUCUCCUCGGUCACAAAGCGGUUGAAUAAGAAGAUCACGGCUGAGCUGACGGCCAGACCAGCACUAGCAUAGAUAGUAUACCUUCUUAUACUCCAAGUCUAGUCUAGAAGAGAACGCAAUAACCAAAGUCCUUGUCGACCAGCAAACAGAAUCACACAAAGGACAAAGCCAUACCUCCCGUCGUCUCCCCUGCGUUGCUUCUUUCAAGAGAAAGAGCAAUAGCACUGCCCUCGCAAAAAAAAGAAAAAAGAAAAGAGCAAAUAGCACUGGUGAUAUGAUCUUAGGCGCAGGGCUGCCAAGUGCAGUGCUACGACUAGGACGCAGCGUGUACGUGUUCGCCACUACCUAUGAAUCUCAAACCAGUAAGUAGUUUUUCAUAUUUUUUUAUGAAAAGGAGUACUCCCUCUAUAAACUAAUAUAAGAGCGUUUAGAUAUUAGUAAUCUAAACGCCCUUAUAUUAGUUUGCGAGGGAGUAGCUUUUUGUUCCUGAUGCCAUCCGAUCCCUGCCGCUGCAAACUCCCAAGUUAAAAUAAUUAACCACCACCACUGGCCAAAAAAAGGAAAAGAAAACACCACAAGUUGCAGCCGUGCUCUUUUCCCACCAGGAGCAACGCUGGUCGCUGCGCUUAUGCUUUGUUUUUGACCUGGCCGGUUCCAUAAUCGUUAGUAUACUUCUUCAGUCGGAUGCCACCCACUGGGUCGCUCUUGUGGCUGUUUUCUCUUUCUCCAUCAGAAAACACACAUACACAGUACUCCCUCCAUACCAAAAUAAGUGGCCCAACUUUAGUAAUAUAGAUUUAUAUUAAAAUUAGUACAUAGUUGAGACACUUAUUUUAAGAUCGAUCGGAGGAAGUAGAAGUACAUGUACAUACGUACAUACAUAGAGCUGUGCCAGUCAUACAGGGCAUGUCGAUGGUUCCCAAGCACCAAGCAGUAGUGUAUGCCAGCUUGGUCGUCGGCAUCCUAGCAGCACCACUCAACUCGAACCACAUGUUCCAUACAAAGAAAUAUCCGCUCUAACCUGUGCAUAAGAAAACGAGAGUUCUCUCUCUUUCUGGCGCUUCACUGGCCUCUGAUUUUUCUCGCCUCCAAGCUACAGCCUACAGCCACUAUCCUCCUGUUUCUGACGACGACCUGUUCGUUCCGUUCCAUAGUGGAGUACGUACCGAUAAGCAAGUAAAAGCAGCGUCAUGUCUUCAGGAAACAACCUACCGGGCCACCGGGGUGUCGCCUUCUCGCCACUUCCUCUCGUCGUUUUCACGUCACGUCACGAUCAUAGCACUGGGGGUGUUCAUUUCUCCUCCUCUGGCCGCUUCUUCUGCUUUGGCUGGAGCGGAAAAAAAGUACUGUGUCUUUGGUCGGCGAAAGCUGCAGAAAUAGGUAGUGAUGUUCCGCAGAAUUGGAACCACAAAAACUCCUGUCGCAAAAAAAUAAAAA